rnacentral:rRNA from 1 species
AAUGAACGCUGGCGGCGUGCUUAACACAUGCAAGUCGAACGAGGCGGAGGGGGGCAACUCCUUCCAGCCGAGUGGCGGACGGGUGAGUAACACGUGGGUAACCUGCCCGGAAGUGGGGAAUACCUCGGGGAAACUCGAGCUAAUACCGCAUGACAUCUUCGGGACGAAAGUCCUGACGAUCAAAGCGGGGUCGCAAGAUCUCGCGCUACCGGAUGGGCCCGCGCCCGAUUAGCUAGUUGGUGAGGUAACGGCUCACCAAGGCUUCGAUCGGUAACCGGCCUGAGAGGGCGAUCGGUCACACCGGAACUGAGACACGGUCCGGACUCCUACGGGAGGCAGCAGUGGGGAAUCUUGCGCAAUGGGCGAAAGCCUGACGCAGCAACGCCGCGUGGAGGAUGAAGGCCCUUGGGUUGUAAACUCCUGUCGGCUGGGAAGAAAUCGUUCGGGGUCAAUACCCCCCGGACGUUGACUGUACC